GGAAUUCCGGGCGGAUCCGGAGGCUGGGCAGAGGGACGGGAACGGGAACCAGGUCCCGCCCAGGGGACCCCAGGAGGAGAUCAACCAGCACCUGGUGAACCUGUACCGGCUCCUGCUGCGGCUCCAGGUGGGAUGGGGGGGAACAGGGAUGGGGAGGGGG